UGCUAGACUCCUUUCCGGCCUGGACCUGCGUCUCCUGGGACAGCGCAUGCGGCACAAGGUGCCUGGCGUCAUCAGUUCAGCUGGAAACUCGGAGACGGGUCUUUACCCGAGGAGUGAGAUAGAAACGAAAGUCACCAGGUCAGGCGGUCAGUGAAAAGUGCCAAGCUAGGAAGAGAGCCGGCCGGUCCCUCCUUCGCUCCCUUUGGUUUACAAUCUGUCUCCCAGCUUAAUCUGUUUAAGGGCUGCCAACUGAGAAGGUGAUGUUCUUUUAUUCAAGAUGGAUUAAGAAGGACCAGGGGGCAUGAUAAAGGCUAUUGGAUUAGAAGUGAUUAGAAGCCCGGAGUGCCGGUUGAAGUCCUACUAACUUGCCAUGACCUUGGGCCUAAUGGUGAGUGAAGGGGAUUUAGUACCCUGGCUAAAAAAACAUCAAUCAUGCCUAGUAUUCUGGAAGCAAAUGACAAGGAUGGCAGUUUUGCCCAGAAUAGCCUAUUUCAUCAGAAAUAACUGAUAAAAUUAUGCAGUCUCUGCCAUAUCACUCAAAAUAAAGAUCUAUUUAUUCCAA